rnacentral:lncRNA from 1 species
CUUUUAAAAUACUUUGGACUUAAAACUAAGUCUGUCCCAGAGUUCUAGUUAAGGGGGUUCAUUUGAAUCGAGGAGAAGGUGUUAAACAUUCCCGAGUCCAAUGAAAGUCACGGUUGCAUACUCGAUCUAAUUAGCUUUUAAAAUAUUCUAAUUGAGGUGAAAAUAAGUACAAAAAAGAAAAAUAAUCACACAAGAGCCCCGAGGUCAUUCCCACCUAAAUAACAAAAAAGAAGAAAGAAAAAUAAAAUAUUAAAAUCCUAAACAUAUACUAUG